GAGGGGGGUCAGUGUUGUGGUGUUCCUCCUAAAGUUCACAAUCAUCUCCACCGUUUUGAGUAUGUUCAGCUCAAGGUUGUUUUGACUGCACCAGACAGCUAGCUGUUUAACCUUCCUUCUGUAUGCAGACUCAUCAUCAUCUCGGAUGAGGCCGAUGACAGUGGUGUCGUCUGCAAACUUCAGGAGCUUGACAGAGGAGUCCUUGGCGAUGCAGUCAUUGGUGUAGAGGGAGAAGAGUAGUGGGGAGAGCACACAUCUCUGGGGGGCACCAGUGCUGAUUGUACAGGUGCUGGAAGUGUGGAGUAACCAGGUGAUCUGAUUGUUAAUGUGCAGCGCCGGCACGCAGUGUUUCCUUCCUAUAUAAACCGAGUGUUUUGUGGCUGGGUUGUGCGAUGGGUGUUCGUGAGCUGUGCCAUCUUGGUCACCGCUGCUUUUGCGCAAAUUACCGCUGCUGGAGCGGAUUUUCCCGCAAUUUUUUUUUUUAUCUACACAGUGUUGAUAUGGCAACAAGUAAACAAAUUAAGUUUUGUCUCACCAGCAUGUGUGGAAACGUUUAAAUCACGUGUGUGACAACUAACCCCGUGUUAGUUUGUGCCCCACGCUCCUCUAGGCAACGAAUCUGAAAAUGGCAAUAUAUGCUGAACACUUGUAUGCUGAAACUGUUCAUAAAUGUUUUUACUGAUAUUAAAAUGUAAAUUAUAUACAGUAGAUAUAUGCAAUAUACAGAAUAUGACAAUAUGACAAAAAUGAAAAUUUUCAUAUAUGUAUCUUGUUUUUUAAACACUUGUGGAAUUUAAAUGUGUAUUAAAUUGUAUUUGUUUAUAUAUGGCCAGUGGCGAUUUCUCAUGACCAGCAAAGCCUUCUCUGCUGGCAUAACAUGCCUAAUAAAUAUUUUUUCAUCCUUUCA